AUUGAUUUUCAAACUGUAAAUGGCUACUGGUGAAUGUCUGUUGAAUGUCUGUUGAAUGUGAAUGUGCGAAUAUAAAACCAAUUUUAGCUUGGUGGUGUUAACACAACCGUGAUGCGCGUAUCACUCUUGAAACAUUAUUUGAAAACACUGAAAAGGUGCAGUAGAUACUCCCACAACUCUGUAGCCUACUUUAUGACGUGAUCUCUGGUUUUGGAAAUCCCGGAUUGUAAAAACGCAAAAAUCACUGACGGUCACAGCAGGACUACACCUUUAAGACGUCGAAACUGCGCGCAUUGGGAGUGGGCAUAUGUUCAACUGUAGAAUCACAACAACACUUCGCUAUGGGAAAACUGUGAAGAGGACCGCCUGCGCUGAACAAUAUUUAAAGAAAGCCAGCAGCAACGAUAUUUCUCAUCAACACAAACAUUGCUGCCGGUAUCCUGCAUGCUGUACUGUUGUGGAAGCAAGGAAAAGGAGAAGCAGCGCCCAGACGCUGCAGAGGUGUCGAGAAUUCGAGACACAGAGCCUGUGAAAACACGAAAGCCCCAAGAAAGCGCUCCUCAACCACUGGACAUGUACGGAAUAGCGGGAAUGCCCGAGUUUCUACCUCCCUCCGGCGUACUCCAGCCCAGCUCAGUAAUCCCACGCGAGUCGGGUGAGGUGCCUGGUUUGGGGAGGGGAUUCAGCAGGGGUGUUCUGAGCUUUGACUCCCCCCAGCGGAGACGAGGCCAACGGCCCCCCAAGCUAGGACAAAUAGGACGUUCGAAGAGAGUGGUGAUAGAAGAUGAGGAUUUGGAUGAUGUCAUGAACAACAAUGGCCUCCCUAUAUCGAUCAAUGUCUCUCCUGUUGCCUGA
rnacentral:lncRNA from 1 species